AGCCAAUGAGUUUACCUUUCCAACGCUACCAGGCGUGUCCAGGUGUGAUACGUAUGAGCCGAGAUAUACAGCUGCGUCAUCACGGCAGACAACUCGCUUUGCGCAUGACAGAGCCUCCAGCGGACCAGGACGCACGCCGCACACAUUGAUCACAUUGAUUUCGCCGUUUACAAUGGCGAAAUCAACGAAGAAAACGAAAUAUUACACACAUGAAGAAGCCCUCACUUUGAUUUUGGCUUCAUCCGAGGACAGCGAAGACAGCCAAUAUGAUUCUGAGAUAGAGGAGAUGUUCAAGCAACAAUUGGACGACGUCUUAGAUCGGUCAAUGUCUGAGGACAGUGAUGCGGAUUGGGAGCCGCAAAGCCAGACAGGCAGACCCCCCGGCCCCCACUCCUACUGAAGGUGGUCGUGAGAGAUCCGGAGCCAGCUGGAAGAGUCCAGACCACUAGGGGCCCGCCGCAAC
ensembl:lncRNA